UUUGGAGAAAGUUUGAUCCUGGCUCAGGACGAACGCUGGCGGCGUGCCUAAUACAUGCAAGUCGAGCGAACAGAAAAGGAGCUUGCUCCUUUGACGUUAGCGGCGGACGGGUGAGUAACACGUGGGCAACCUACCCUAUAGUUUGGGAUAACUCCGGGAAACCGGGGCUAAUACCGAAUAAUCUCUUUUGCUUCAUGGUGAAAGACUGAAAGACGGUUUCGGCUGUCGCUAUAGGAUGGGCCCGCGGCGCAUUAGCUAGUUGGUGAGGUAACGGCUCACCAAGGCGACGAUGCGUAGCCGACCUGAGAGGGUGAUCGGCCACACUGGGACUGAGACACGGCCCAGACUCCUCCGGCAGGCAGCAGUAGGGAAUCUUCCACAAUGGGCGAAAGCCUGAUGGAGCAACGCCGCGUGAGUGAAGAAGGUUUUCGGAUCGUAAAACUCUGUUGUAAGGGAAGAACAAGUACAGUAGUAACUGGCUGUACCUUGACGGUAGCCUUAU
rnacentral:rRNA from 1 species